rnacentral:rRNA from 1 species
GGGGAAGGGUAGCUUGCUACCUGACCUAGCGGCGGACGGGUGAGUAAUGCUUAGGAAUCUGCCUAUUAGUGGGGGACAACAUUCCGAAAGGAAUGCUAAUACCGCAUACGCCCUACGGGGGAAAGCAGGGGAUCUUCGGACCUUGCGCUAAUAGAUGAGCCUAAGUCAGAUUAGCUAGUUGGUGGGGUAAAGGCCUACCAAGGCGACGAUCUGUAGCGGGUCUGAGAGGAUGAUCCGCCACACUGGGACUGAGACACGGCCCAGACUCCUACGGGAGGCAGCAGUGGGGAAUAUUGGACAAUGGGCGAAAGCCUGAUCCAGCCAUGCCGCGUGUGUGAAGAAGGCCUUUUUGGUUGUAAAAGCACUUUAAGCGAAGGAGGAGGCUACUGAGAUUAAUACCUCUUGGAUAGUGGGACCGUUUACUUCGCAAAAAUAAAGCACCGGCUAACUUCUUGUGCCAGCAGCCCGCGGUAAUACAGAAGCCGUUAAUCGGAUUUACU